CCUGUGUCUCUAACAUUUCCUGCAUUGGCAGGCGGGUUCUUUACCACUAGCUCCACCUGGGAAGCCCAUGUAUGUGUAUAUAUGUAUGAAUAUAUAAGUGUAUAUGCGUAAAUCUGUCUAUAUAUAUGCAGAAAGAGAUUGGAGCAAAAGUGACUUAUAUCCAUAUCUAUAGACCCUCAAGAAUGUCUAUGACAUUUUGGUAAGUGAAAAAGAAAACAUUGCAAAGUUAAGUGUAUAACAGGGGUCCCCAAGCCCCAGGCCACGGACCAGUAGGAGUCUGUGCUGGUCUCUGGCCUGUUAGGAACCCAGGUUAUAGAGCAGGAGGUGCGCAGUGGGUGAGCAAACAAAGCUUCAUCUGUAUUUACAGUUGCUCCCUAUUGAUUGCAUUACUGCUUGAGCCCCACCUCCUGUCAGAUGAGCUGUGGCAUUAGAUUCUCAGGAGCACGGACCCUACUGUGCAUUUGAGGGAUCUAGGUUGCAGGCUCCUUAUGAGAAUCUAAUGCCUGAUGAUCUGAGGUGGAGUUGAGGCAGUGAUGCUAGUGCUGGGAGUGGCUGCAAAUAUAGAUCAUCAUUAGCAGAGAGGUUUGACUGCAGAGACCAUAAUGAAGCAACUGCUUGCAGACUCAUAUCAAAGCCCUAUCAGUGAGUGGCAAGUGACAAACUGCACCUGGUGGCAGGCUUUAAGUCAGAAUCCACCCAUGGCCGGCCCGUUAUUUUAUUUAUCACUUCUGUCUGUGCCUCUUUCCUGUGCUGCACACUUGUCUCAGGCAUGGUUUUGGUAAGCCCACAAGCUAACCCUCGCCAAAAUGAGUGAAAAACAAGCAUCGCCGGAGAGCUUCUUUGAAAAGAGGGAAAGACCCAAUGAUGAGACAACAGAAGUCUCUAAGACUGCCCCCCCCCAAAAAAAAGGAAGAAGAAGAAAGCUGCAUUUUAAAGAAAAUACCAAGAGUCCUUCUGAAAUUAUGGUUUCAUUGCAAUAGGUGAUUCACAUUCUCCAAGCCCACUCUGUAUAAUACGUGGCGACCAGGUCACACAACAAAGCCAUGAAACUUCAAAAUUGCUUUGCCACAUGGAGACCAAGGAUCCUACAUUAAAAGACAAACCUUUGGAGUUUUUCAGAAGAAUAAAAGCUGAUCGUGCCUGCUGCUAAGGACAUUUGUUGUAAACUUUUAGGAGAGACUUCAGUUAAAAAGGCAGCACCUGUUCCACUUUUGGCUAGCACCAUAACUAGAUGAAUUGAUGGAAUAGAAGAGAAUAGAGGCACAACUGUUAGAGAGGAUUAAUGAGUCACCAUGAUACACAAUCCAACUGGACAAGUCCACCGAUGUUGACAACAAGGCAACAGUGCUUGGUUUUGUGUGAUAUAUUUUUCAGGAGGAUGUGCAGGAGGAUAUGUUAUGUGCACUUUUGUUGCCAACCAACCCCACAGAUGCAGAACUAUUCAAGUCUUUGACUGAUUACAUAUCAGGAAAAUUCUGCAUUGGUCACUUUGUGUCUGCAUGUGCAUGGAUGGAGAAGCUGUCACAACUGGAUAGCUUUUUGGUUUCACUGCUUGUAUCAAACAGGUUGCUUCUGAAUGUGAGUCUACACACUGUUUCAUCCAUAGAGAAGUGGUGGCUAGCCAAAAAAUGUCACUCUGACUGAACAAUGUUUUGCUGGAUGUAAUUAAAAUUGUCAACCACAGUAAAGUACAUGCCCUUAACCAAUGUCUGUCUGCACAGCUCGGAGAGGAGAUGGACACAGUGCAUGUCUUCUCUUUUACACAGAAGUGGGAUGGCUUUCUAAAGGUAGAUCACAGCCAGAGUUUUUGCAUUACUAGAGUCACUUCAGAGAUUUCUUUCAGAAAAACAGUCACCACUGGCAGCACACUUCAAUGACCCAGAAGAGGUCACAAAUCUUGCUUAUUUAUGUGACAUAUUUAACCUACUUGACAAACUCAAUCCAUCACUUUAGGGAGAAGGACAGCUGUGUUCAAGCUUCAGACAAAGUGGCUGCAUUCAAAACCAAACUGGAAUUACGGGGACAACAAGUGAGCAUUGGGAUUUUUGACAUUUAAAACAUUAGCAGAGGUUGAAAGAGACUGAGCCAGGGCCUUGUUUCUCCAAGCUGGUGCAUGAUCACCUUAUGUCAGCUUUCAGAAGAAUUUGGGCAUUACUUCCCAACCACAAAAUACCCCCAAACUGGGAAGGAAUGGAACCAUGACCUAUUUGUGAUUAAGCCAGGUGAAUCAGCUUUGUCCACACUAUAAGGGGAUCAACUGCUUAAAAUUGCAAAUGACAGUGGCCUUAAAAGUAUGUUUGAGACAGCUUCAAAUCUCCAUACAUUCUGGAUUAAAGUCAAGGCGAAAUACACAGAUUUCCACAGAAGUACCGAAAAGCCUGCUACGAUUUCCAAUAUCCUAUCUUUGUGAAGCAGGGUUUUCUGCAGUGACAGCAGCCAAAAUGAGAUUACAGAGUAGACUGGACAUAAGCAACACACUUUGGGUGUCACUGUCUCCCAUCAACCCCAGAUGGGACUGUCUAGUUGCAGGAAAACAACCUCAGGACUCCCACUUAUUCUACAUUAUGGUGAGUUGUACAAUUAUUUUGUUAUAUAUCACAAUGCAACAAUAAUAGAAAUAACACAAUAAAUGUAUUACAUUUGAAUCAUCGGACACCUUUACUUGUAUUACUCAUGUAUCAAAUCACAAUUUGUUUUGGUUCUUUCAAAUAUGGAGGGAAGAAGGAUGGAGAGUAACUGCAAAAAAUUCAUUUGCAUCUUCUCAAAUAAUUAUGUAUUCUUAUCUAGACCAAAGUUGUCUGAUGGAACUCUCUGCAGUGAAGAUCAUGUUCUAAAAUCUGUACUGGAAGAAUUAGACGAUUUUGUGGCUAGCUGUAUGCACUACUGAGCAUUUGAAAUGUACUAAUGUAUCUAGAAUUGAACUUUAAAUUUCAUUUAAUUUUAGUUUUAAUUAAACUAUGACGUGUAAUCUUAAAAAAGGGAAUACAUGGGCUGGGGUCUGGGGGCUAUGAGAUGAUGUAGGUAAAGGGGUACAAAAUUUCACUUAUAAGGAUAAAUUCUGAGGAUCCAGUGAACAGCAUGGUUCCUACAGUUAAUAAUAAGAUAGUGUAUAUUUUGAAAAUUGCUGAGAGUAGAUCUUAAGCAUUCUCACUGAACCACCCAACCCCGCCCUACAAAGUUAACUGGAUUAACUGUAUGAUGUGAUGGAUGCAUUAAUUAUCUUGAUAAUCAACUGACAGUGUGUAAGUAUGUCAAAUCAUGGUGAACACUUUAAAUAUAUGCAAUGAUAUUGGUCAAUUGUUCCCCAAAAUUAAGAAAAGAAAAAACUAUUAGGGAAGAAUUAAAUUCAAUGAGCUUUAUGGGAAAAAUGGACAUUUGCCAAUAGGUGGGGAAGGUGGUCCAAGAGAAGGAGUCAAUUUUCCUCUUGUGAGGGGAACAACCAGAAGGUUUCCCUAUAAUUUUCAUGAAAGGAUUUGCCUAAGGAAGUGGUUCUCAAACUUGUUUGCUCAUUAGAAUCAGCUGGGAACUUAUAAAGCCCCUGACGUCCAAUCCACACCCGGAGAUUGUGACUUCACUGGUUUCAGGGAUUCCUAUUGAGCAAACUCCUUGACACAGGUCUUGGCAAUUAUUUUUUUAAUCUGACACCAAAAGGAAAAGCAACAAAAGGAAAAAUAAAAUAUGCUAGACUACAUCAUACUUAUACUAAAAAGAUUCUGCACAGCAAAGGAAACCAUCAACAAAAUGAAAACUUAUUGAGUAGGAGAAAAUAUUUGCAAAACAUAUAUCUGAUAGGGGGCUAGUAUUCAAAAUAUAUGAAGAAGUCAUACAACUCAGUAGCAAAAAAAAUAAUCUGACCAAAAACUGAGAAGAUCUGAAUAAACAUUUUUUCAAAACAGACACACAGAUGGCCAACAGGUCUUUGACAAGAUGUUCAACAUCAUUAAACAUCAGGGAAAUGCAAAUCGAAAUCACAGUGAGGUAUCAUUUUACACUUGCUUUAUAAUGAUUAUUAUCAAAAAGACAAGAAAUAACAAGUGUUGGUGAGAAUGUAGAGAAAAGGGAACAUUUGUGCACCAUUGGUGGAAAUGUAAAUUGGUGCAGUGACUAUGGAAAAUAGCAUAGAGUUUUCUCAAAAAGUUACAAAUAGAAUUACCAUAUGAUCCAGCAAUUCCACUUCUGGUUAUUUAUCUGAAGAGAAAAAAGAAACACACUAACUUGAAAAGAUCCCUGCACUCCCAUGUUUAUUGCAGCAUUAUUUACAAUGGCCAAGGUGUAGAAACAAUUUGUGUUCAUUGACGUAUAGUUACAUUUUCCUUAUCUAAGGGCAGGAAAAGAGAAAACAAGUGGCUCAGAUGGUUAGUUAUCAAAAUCAACCAAGAUCUCUAAAAUAAAGGAGUCUCAGUGGGAGAAGACAACUGGCUUUGCACUUUAUCUAAUUGUGUAUUUAUUUGAGAUCUGCUUUGAAGUGGAUGCCUCUUUGAAAUGGAUGCUUUGGCAAUCAAAGCUUAAGUCAGGCACUUGCAUUAUGAAAAAAAAAAAAACUGUCAGGGCUUACAUUACAUAUAUAUGUGAUUAAAAAACUGUUCUGGACUCAUUAAAAAUGGUAUGGAAGUAACUUAGACAUUGAAAUUAUUUAAAGCCCCCAGUAAAUUCUAAUGUGAAGUUAGAUUUGUGAAUUUGUGGCCCAAGGGAAGUCAAUGUUUUCAGGAAAGAAUUAGAUCAAAGAACCUGAAAUGAAUUUAGAGCUCUAUUUCUGGCUUCUAUGUGCUGGGUUCAGUCUAGAAUUACCAUAUAAUCAGCAAAUUAGGCACAAGGGAGAAAAAUAGAGGCCCUCUUUUGCUUGUAGUCAGUCAGUGCGAGCAUAUCUGAUCCAAAACACUUGGAAACACACAGUUUCAUCUAGUGGCCAGUGGGGACUCUCCAACAGAACCUGCAAAACAGGAAGACUUUGGGAUCUGGCUUUUUGAAACACUGAGGUUACAAGGAAGAAAAGGAUUGCAAGUUGUUUGAUUGACACAGAAGAAUUACAAGUGUGAGAGAAUGAGGAGGCAGAGGGCCAAAGGGAAGUAUGUUUCUGCCGCCGCCACAUCACUGCUGCAUUUCAGGAAUGGCAUUUCAGUCGGGAAGUAGACAUGUAUGGAUGUGAGAAUUGGACCAAAAAGAAA